rnacentral:rRNA from 1 species
AUGGCCAGGAUCCGAGAGAGGAAGACAAGGGAUAUUGGCCAAAUCAAAUGCAUCAAGGACGGAGCAGACCAACUCUUGGUGAAGGACUGGGAGAUUAAGCAUAGAUGUUGGGAGUACUUCGACAAGCUGUUCAAUGGGGAGAAUGAGAGUUCUACCAUUGAACUGGACGACUCCUUUGAUGAGACCAGCAUGCGUUUUGUGCGGCGAAUCCACGAGUCUGAGGUCAAGGAAGCUUUAGAAAGGAUGAAAGGAGGCAAGGCGAUGGGCCCUGAUUGUAUCCCCAUUGAGGUGUGGAAAGGCUACGGGGACAUAGCAAUAGUAUGGCUAAUCAAGCUUUACAACCUCAUAUUCCGGGCAAAGAAGAUGCUAGAAGAACGGAGACGAAGUAUAUUAGUACCAAUCUUCAAGAACAAGGGGGAUGUUCAAAGUUGUACUAAUUACCGUGGAAUUAAGUUGAUAAGUCAUACAAUGAAGCUAUGGGAGAGAGUCAUUGAGCACCGCUUAAGAAGAAUGGCAAGCUUGACCAAAAAUCAGUUUGGUUUCAUGCCUGGGAGGUCAACCAUGGAAGCCAUUUUCUUGGUACGACAACUUAUGGAGAGAUACAGAGAGCAAAAGGACUUGCAUAUGGUGUUCAUUGACUUGGAGAAGGCUUAUGAUAAGAUACUGCGGAAUGUCAUGUGGUGGGCCUUGGAGAAGCACAAAGUCUCAGCAAAGUACUUUACCCUCAUCAAGGACAUGUACAAUAAUGUUGUGACAAGUGUUCGAACAAGUGAUGUCGACACUGAUGACUUCCCGAUUAAGAUAGGACUGCAUCAGGGGUCAGCUUUGAGCCCUUAUCUUUUUGCCUUCGUGAUGGGAUGA